UGCUGAUGGGCAGGGUGGGGGUCGGCACAACUUUUGGGGGUGCUCGUGCUCAUGGGGCUAUGGCCUAAAGAGUGCUGCCUCCCCUACAUACUCAAGUUUCUUCUAAUGCUCCCCAUAGUGAGACAUGCAGCCACAGCAUCCAGUUGAGCACUCGGCCAUGUUGGACUCACCAGUGCUCACUCCUUCCUGCUCCUUUCCCCAGGGAUUUUGGCUCUGGGGAGCACAGGGAGGUGUCCCUGUGGCACUGAGUGCUGAGAGGCUGAAUGCUGUGACAGCCAUUCUCUGUGCGGUGUUCUUCAGAUACGUCUGGUGUUAGCACAGGCUGCUUCCUGCAAAGCCCUUUUUCUCUCAGCACUUUGUUCCCGCAGACAGGCUGAGCACACUGGGUGCUGCACCUAUGGUUCCUCCAGCAUUCCCAGUCACUGCAGGGGCUGGGAGGAGGUGCAGGGGAAUGAUAUCACUAGAAAACAGCCCAAGCAGGACCCACAUUCCCUGCCCACUGCCAGAUCCAUGUGGUACCACUCCUGGCAUCCUCAAGGGCUGCAGCUGCUCCACAUGAGCUCUGGGGCCAUCUGAGCUCUGUCCCUGGAGCACUUGCCAGGGCCAGAACAAGUUGUGGCUGCUACAGAAUUCCCACUUCCACGGGUCCAUGCUGGUCUUACCCCAAGAGCGUAUUUCAGCACAUGCUGUAUUCAAGGCAAACUAUUCCUGCUGGGAUCUGGGGAUCCUUUAUCUCUGUUCCCAGUGCUGGGAGGAACAUGAGGAGUCCUGUUGUUUGGAAAAAACCCCAAAGCCCAUAGAGGAUUGAUUGAGCUAAAUGGAGGUGCUUUGGCACAGCCUUUGGGACACACUGCAGGUAUCUCAAGUCACGGAGGGCACUUUGCAGCAGCUUCUCAAGGCCCAUGUGUAGUGCAGCAGCUCUUCCACCACUCUUCUUCCCCUGCCCCUCGUUCCAGCCUGGGGCUGGAAGCACAUCUGCCCAGAGGUGAGAGCAGAGCUGCUCGGCUGCCAAAGUAGAACACAGCUCAGAAGUUCAUUCUGGGAUUGCCAUGCAGUGUGAAGAGGUACCCAUUGGCCAGAUGGGGCCUUUGCUUCAAAAGCGGUGGAAAGCUCAACGUCAGCGUGCAGCCCUGUGCCCUCCGGUGCUGGAAGGGGCUGCUCACCCUCAGCCAUACAGUUCUCCAUUUCUAUGGGCUGAAAGAUUUCAGAGCCUUGCUCUGGGAGCUGCCCAAGGUGUUGCUGAUGGCAUCUAAGAGAAAAGCAUGGAGCAGCGUUGCUGCGCACUGCUUAUGUGUAGCUAUGGUUACAGGAGUCUGUGUCAGAGUAUGUACGAUGUUACCAGGGAAAUCAGACGUGGUGGUGUCAACAGAUACUGCAGGAGCUCAUCCUCCAUCAGAGCAGAGCUCAGAAGCUCAGUGCAGACCCACACAGCAACCGGCAGCGAUAAGAAUAAAUGCCAUUUGGAGAAGAAAACCAUCCUACCCACGCGGAGGGAGGGGGGCCUGGCAGGGACAUGCAGGUACCACCCACUGCUGCAAGCACUUGGCACGUGUUCCCAGAGACAUUCAAACAUGUACCAAAGAGCUUCUCCUGUCUGAGCAGUCAGUGCAUCCUUACA
rnacentral:lncRNA from 1 species